AACGCACCUUGCGCCUCUUGGUAUUCCGAGGGGCACACCCGUUUGAGUGUCGUGACAUCCUCAACCUUCUCGAUCUUUGCGAUCGGAGAAGGCUUGGACAUUGGGGGUUUAUGCUGGCCUCGUUCGAAGCCAGCUCCCCUUAAAUGGAUUAGUGGGGUUCGAUUUGCCGAUCCUCGACGUUGAUAAGGUGUUUCUACGUCUCGGGUUGGGCACUGUCUUUCGGGAACCUGCUUCUAACCGUCUCGCGAGAGACUACGCGUUCGAACCUUGACCUCAAAUCGGGUGAGACUACCCGCUGAACUUAA
rnacentral:rRNA from 1 species